rnacentral:pre_miRNA from 1 species
AGUGGCAUAACUGGGUCAAAUGGUGGUUCCAUUCCACAUUUUCUGAGGAAUCUCCAUACUGCUCUCCAUAGUGGUUAACACCAAUUUGCAGUCCCACCAGCAAU